GAGUUUGAUCCUGGCUCAGGAUGAACGCUGGCGGCGUGCUUAACACAUGCAAGUCGAGCGAAAAUAAUUGAGAGCUUGCUUUUGAUUAUUUUAGCGGCGGACGGGUGAGUAACGUGUGGGUAACCUGCCUUUUACUGUGGAAUAAUCGUUGGAAACGACGACUAAUACCGCAUACGGUUCUUGGAAGGCAUCUUCUAAGAAAGAAAGGAUUUAUUCGGUAAAAGAUGGGCCCGCAUCUGAUUAGAUAGUUGGUGAGAUAAUAGCCCACCAAGGCAACGAUCAGUAGCCGACCUGAGAGGGUGACCGGCCACAUUGGGACUGAGACACGGCCCAAACUCUUACGGGAGGCAGCAGUGGGGAAUAUUGCACAAUGGGCGAAAGCCUGAUGCAGCAACGCCGCGUGAAGGAAGACGGUUUUCGGAAAUAAACUUCUAUCUAUAGGG
rnacentral:rRNA from 1 species